AGCGCCGCUGUCAAGGGCAGCUGCGUCGACAGCGACGCCGUCGGUGGACGAUAGAGCCGAGCGGCCUCUCGCCAUUUGUCGAUGCGUUCGAUCGUUGUUUUUAAUGUGUCUUUGAUGUUGUCUAACGAUUCGGUUAGCUGCUAGCUUUUCGCGAAAAUUCAAAACGAAAUCUUUUCGCUCAGUAUCGAGGGAAAUCACGACGCGCCAACUUGGUGGGAAAUGCCAGUACGUGAACGCGCUCAAUUAGUGUGCACAAGGAUUAGCAGCAAAACGCUCACUAACUUUUUCAGCGUUAAAAGCACAAACAAAAAUUCGUGUCAUAAAAUCCCAUAUUAAAAAUACAA